AGGUUAGAGUACAUUUUGAACAGCCAUCUCCAGGAUAUACUCUGAAGACUGUGAUGUACAAGUUCAAGGUUUGACUGUUCAGAUACUUUAAUAAUAAAGAAUGGGGGAAAAAAUUUUCACAUCAUGCU